rnacentral:rRNA from 1 species
ACGGUCCUAAGGUAGCGAAAUUCCUUGUCGGGUAAGUUCCGACCCGCACGAAAGGCGUAAUGAUUUGAGCGCUGUCUCGACAAUGCAUCCGGUGAAAUUGAAGUACCAGUGAAGAUGCUGGUUACCUGCGCCAGGACGGAAAGACCCCAUGGAGCUUUACUCCAGCUUGAUACUGGGAUUCGGUAAUGCAUGCACAGGAUAGGUGGGAGGCUACGAGUACGGAACUCCGGUUUCGUAUGAGCCGCUGUUGGGAUACCACCCUUGCGUUACUGGGUUUCUAACCAUGGUCCAUGAUCUGGAUCGGGGACAAUGUCAGGUGGGGAGUUUGACUGGGGCGGUCGCCUCCGAAAGGGUAUCGGAGGCGCUCAAAGGUUCCCUCAGAAUGGUUGGAAACCAUUCGAAGAGUGCAAAGGCAGAAGGGAGCUUGACUGCGACACCGACGGGUGGAGCAGGUACGAAAGUAGGACUUAGUGAUCCGGUGGUAUAAAGUGGGAUUGCCAUCGCUCAACGGAUAAAAGCUACCCUGGGGAUAACAGGCUUAUCACUCCCAAGAGUUCACAUCGACGGAGUGGUUUGGCACCUCGAUGUCGGCUCAUCGCAUCCUGGGGCUGUAGUAGGUCCCAAGGGUUGGGCUGUUCGCCCAUUAAAGCGGUACGCGAGCUGGGUUCAGAACGUCGUGAGACAGUUCGGUCCCUAUCCGGCGCGGGCGGAGGAUAUUUGAGAGGAGCUGUCCUUAGUACGAGAGGACCGGGAUGGACGGACCACUGGUGUAUCUGUUGUCGACCAACGGCAUGGCAGAGUAGCCAAGUCCGGAAGGGAUAAACGCUGAAGGCAUCUAAGCGUGAAGCCCCCCUCAAGAUGAGAUAUCCCAUUCGAAAGAAGUAAGACCCCUUGAAGACGACGAGGUAGAUAGGGCAGAGGUGGAAGUGCCGUAAGGCAUGGAGCUGACUGUUACUAAUCGGUCGAGGGCUUGACCUA